rnacentral:lncRNA from 1 species
CCAAACAGACCCUUACAUCUCAUGAUGAUGCUCUCCUUCAAAUGAAUGCUAUAUCCAACUCAAAUGUGACUGACAAGCUAUUGAAUUUCCUCGAGAAGUAUUUUGAGCCACCAUUCCAUCGCCAUUUUCUUACAACUGCUGAUCCGAUUUUGGGACACGAGAUCAUAUUGAAAUUGAGACCGAGUUGCUGACAUGGUUCUCUGACCAGUAGUGUCAUGCGUGGUUUGCGGGAGAAAAUUUACGAAUUCAUCCAUUUGCUUAUAUGACUCCUUACUAACCCAAACAUUUGAUUAUGUGCAGUAUAAAGAUUUGGACGACACCCAACGCCAUCUGGCGCGCCUUUACAAGGACCAAAUGCGUACUAAAUUUCCAAGCCAUGACUUCGUUGCCACGGUUCAUUCAUGGAGAAAAAUAAAAGAUUAAUUGGAAAACAAAUUUUCUUAUACACUUUCCUCAUUCUGUAUAAUUUUUUAAGAAAAUUUCAGGACUUUUGUGCACAAGCAAAAGACUUGAGUAUAUUUACAAAUCCCUCUUACUCCAUUGAGAAUUACAUCUACUUUUAUUUGAUACAUAAGUCAGAACCAAUAUUAUGCAUAUCAAGCAGGNNN